UUAAGCGACUAAGCGUACACGGUGGAUGCCCUGGCAGUCAGAGGCGAUGAAGGACGUGCUAAUCUGCGAUAAGCGUCGGUAAGGUGAUAUGAACCGUUAUAACCGGCGAUUUCCGAAUGGGGAAACCCAGUGUGAUUCGUCACACUAUCAUUAACUGAAUCCAUAGGUUAAUGAGGCGAACCGGGGGAACUGAAACAUCUAAGUACCCCGAGGAAAAGAAAUCAACCGAGAUUCCCCCAGUAGCGGCGAGCGAACGGGGAGCAGCCCAGAGCCUGAAUCAGUGUGUGUGUUAGUGGAAGCGUCUGGAAAGGCGCGCGAUACAGGGUGACAGCCCCGUACACAAAAAUGCACAUGCUGUGAGCUCGAUGAGUAGGGCGGGACACGUGGUAUCCUGUCUGAAUAUGGGGGGACCAUCCUCCAAGGCUAAAUACUCCUGACUGACCGAUAGUGAACCAGUACCGUGAGGGAAAGGCGAAAAGAACCCCGGCGAGGGGAGUGAAAAAGAACCUGAAACCGUGUACGUACAAGCAGUGGGAGCACAGAGCAAUCUGUGUGACUGCGUACCUUUUGUAUAAUGGGUCAGCGACUUAUAUUCUGUAGCAAGGUUAACCGAAUAGGGGAGCCGAAGGGAAACCGAGUCUUAACUGGGCGUUAAGUUGCAGGGUAUAGACCCGAAACCCGGUGAUCUAGCCAUGGGCAGGUUGAAGGUUGGGUAACACUAACUGGAGGACCGAACCGACUAAUGUUGAAAAAUUAGCGGAUGACUUGUGGCUGGGGGUGAAAGGCCAAUCAAACCGGGAGAUAGCUGGUUCUCCCCGAAAGCUAUUUAGGUAGCGUCUCGUGAAUUCAUCUCCGGGGGUAGAGCACUGUUUCGGCAAGGGGGUCAUCCCGACUUACCAACCCGAUGCAAACUGCGAAUACCGGAGAAUGUUAUCACGGGAGACACACGGCGGGUGCUAACGUCCGUCGUGAAGAGGGAAACAACCCAGACCGCCAGCUAAGGUCCCAAAGUCAUGGUUAAGUGGGAAACGAUGUGGGAAGGCCCAGACAGCCAGGAUGUUGGCUUAGAAGCAGCCAUCAUUUAAAGAAAGCGUAAUAGCUCACUGGUCGAGUCGGCCUGCGCGGAAGAUGUAACGGGGCUAAACCAUGCACCGAAGCUGCGGCAGCGACGCUGAUGCGUUGUUGGGUAGGGGAGCGUUCUGUAAGCCUGCGAAGGUGUGCUGUGAGGCAUGCUGGAGGUAUCAGAAGUGCGAAUGCUGACAUAAGUAACGAUAAAGCGGGUGAAAAGCCCGCUCGCCGGAAGACCAAGGGUUCCUGUCCAACGUUAAUCGGGGCAGGGUGAGUCGACCCCUAAGGCGAGGCCGAAAGGCGUAGUCGAUGGGAAACAGGUUAAUAUUCCUGUACUUGGUGUUACUGCGAAGGGGGGACGGAGAAGGCUAUGUUGGCCGGGCGACGGUUGUCCCGGUUUAAGCGUGUAGGCUGGUUUUCCAGGCAAAUCCGGAAAAUCAAGGCUGAGGCGUGAUGACGAGGCACUACGGUGCUGAAGCAACAAAUGCCCUGCUUCCAGGAAAAGCCUCUAAGCAUCAGGUAACAUCAAAUCGUACCCCAAACCGACACAGGUGGUCAGGUAGAGAAUACCAAGGCGCUUGAGAGAACUCGGGUGAAGGAACUAGGCAAAAUGGUGCCGUAACUUCGGGAGAAGGCACGCUGAUAUGUAGGUGAAGUCCCUCGCGGAUGGAGCUGAAAUCAGUCGAAGAUACCAGCUGGCUGCAACUGUUUAUUAAAAACACAGCACUGUGCAAACACGAAAGUGGACGUAUACGGUGUGACGCCUGCCCGGUGCCGGAAGGUUAAUUGAUGGGGUCAGCGCAAGCGAAGCUCUUGAUCGAAGCCCCGGUAAACGGCGGCCGUAACUAUAACGGUCCUAAGGUAGCGAAAUUCCUUGUCGGGUAAGUUCCGACCUGCACGAAUGGCGUAAUGAUGGCCAGGCUGUCUCCACCCGAGACUCAGUGAAAUUGAACUCGCUGUGAAGAUGCAGUGUACCCGCGGCAAGACGGAAAGACCCCGUGAACCUUUACUAUAGCUUGACACUGAACAUUGAGCCUUGAUGUGUAGGAUAGGUGGGAGGCUUUGAAGUGUGGACGCCAGUCUGCAUGGAGCCGGCCUUGAAAUACCACCCUUUAAUGUUUGAUGUUCUAACGUUGACCCGUAAUCCGGGUUGCGGACAGUGUCUGGUGGGUAGUUUGACUGGGGCGGUCUCCUCCUAAAGAGUAACGGAGGAGCACGAAGGUUGGCUAAUCCUGGUCGGACAUCAGGAGGUUAGUGCAAUGGCAUAAGCCAGCUUGACUGCGAGCGUGACGGCGCGAGCAGGUGCGAAAGCAGGUCAUAGUGAUCCGGUGGUUCUGAAUGGAAGGGCCAUCGCUCAACGGAUAAAAGGUACUCCGGGGAUAACAGGCUGAUACCGCCCAAGAGUUCAUAUCGACGGCGGUGUUUGGCACCUCGAUGUCGGCUCAUCACAUCCUGGGGCUGAAGUAGGUCCCAAGGGUAUGGCUGUUCGCCAUUUAAAGUGGUACGCGAGCUGGGUUUAGAACGUCGUGAGACAGUUCGGUCCCUAUCUGCCGUGGGCGCUGGAGAAUUGAGGGGGGCUGCUCCUAGUACGAGAGGACCGGAGUGGACGCAUCACUGGUGUUCGGGUUGUCAUGCCAAUGGCACUGCCCGGUAGCUAAAUGCGGAAGAGAUAAGUGCUGAAAGCAUCUAAGCACGAAACUUGCCCCGAGAUGAGUUCUCCCUGACUCCUUGAGAGUCCUGAAGGAACGUUGAAGACGACGACGUUGAUAGGCCGGGUGUGUAAGCGCAGCGAUGCGUUGAGCUAACCGGUACUAAUGAACCGUGAGGCUUAACCUU
rnacentral:rRNA from 1 species